GCCGGAAUAGCUCAGUGGUAGAGCAACCGCCUUGUAAGCGGUAGGUCGUGAGUUCAAAUCCCACUUCCGGCACCA
rnacentral:tRNA from 1 species